AAGACUAUAGACCUGCGGAGUACCUGCGGAAGGAUCAUUACUGAGUGUCCUCGACGGGUUGUUGCUGGCCUCUUGCGGGCAUGUGCACACCUGUCUUGACUCCAUAUCCACCUGUGCACCUUUUGUAGUCACUUUGAGGGCUGAAGUCAGUGGCGGUCAGCUGAGAGGUUGGAUUUGAUGAUUGUCCAGUUCUGCUGGUCUUUCCUCUUUGCCAUGAAUUCUCCCUUGAGGGGCUAUGUC
rnacentral:misc_RNA from 1 species